rnacentral:rRNA from 1 species
CUUCUUUCCUCCCGAGUGCUUGCACUCAAUUGGAAAGAGGAGUGGCGGACGGGUGAGUAACACGUGGGUAACCUACCCAUCAGAGGGGGAUAACACUUGGAAACAGGUGCUAAUACCGCAUAACAGUUUAUGCCGCAUGGCAUAAGAGUGAAAGGCGCUUUCGGGUGUCGCUGAUGGAUGGACCCGCGGUGCAUUAGCUAGUUGGUGAGGUAACGGCUCACCAAGGCCACGAUGCAUAGCCGACCUGAGAGGGUGAUCGGCCACACUGGGACUGAGACACGGCCCAGACUCCUACGGGAGGCAGCAGUAGGGAAUCUUCGGCAAUGGACGAAAGUCUGACCGAGCAACGCCGCGUGAGUGAAGAAGGUUUUCGGAUCGUAAAACUCUGUUGUUAGAGAAGAACAAGGACGUUAGUAACUGAACGUCCCCUGACGGUAUCUAACCAGAAAGCCACGGCUAACUACGUGCCAGCAGCCGCGGUAAUACGUAGGUGGCAAGCGUUGUCCGGAUUUAUUGGGCGUAAAGCGAGCGCAGGCGGUUUCUUAAGUCUGAUGUGAAAGCCCCCGGCUCAACCGGGGAGGGUCAUUGGAAACUGGGAGACUUGAGUGCAGAAGAGGAGAGUGGAAUUCCAUGUGUAGCGGUGAAAUGCGUAGAUAUAUGGAGGAACACCAGUGGCGAAGGCGG